rnacentral:rRNA from 1 species
GACGAACGCUGGCGGCGUGCCUAAUACAUGCAAGUAGAACGCUGAAGGAGGAGCUUGCUUCUCUGGAUGAGUUGCGAACGGGUGAGUAACGCGUAGGUAACCUGCCUGGUAGCGGGGGAUAACUAUUGGAAACGAUAGCUAAUACCGCAUAAGAGUAGAUGUUGCAUGACAUUUGCUUAAAAGGUGCAAUUGCAUCACUACCAUAUGGACCUGCGUUGUAUUAGCUAGUUGGUGGGGUAACGGCUCACCAAGGCGACGAUACAUAGCCGACCUGAGAGGGUGAUCGGCCACACUGGGACUGAGACACGGCCCAGACUCCUACGGGAGGCAGCAGUAGGGAAUCUUAGGCAAUGGACGGAAGUCUGAACGAGCAAAGACGCGUGAGGGAAGAAGGUUUUCGGAUCGUAAAGCUCUGUUGUAAGAGAAGAAAGAGUGUGAGAGUGGAAAGUUCACACUGUGACGGUAUCUUACCAGAAAGGGACGGCUAACUACGUG